rnacentral:lncRNA from 1 species
UUUCUUUCCUUUCCUUUCCUUUCCUUUCCUUUCCUCUUCUCUUCUCUUCUCUUCUCUUCUCUUCUCUUCUCUUCUCUUCUCUUCUCUUCUUUCCUUUUCUUUUCUUUCCUUUUCUUUUCACCCUUUGCUGCCUGGUUAUUGUGAAGUUACGAGAGUUCUCUCUAUUUUUUAAGUGCUUCGUGUAUUUACACUCUCAGCCCCCCGACUGGGAAAACAUCUUCAUCGUCUUCCUCACCAUGGUGUCUGCUCCGUCAUGUUCAGGGCACUCUGGCUAAUAUGACAGUUCUGGUGGCGCUGUAAGGACUCGGUUUCUUCAAUGCCAGCAACUUCCUCUAUCAGAAGACUCAGCCUUUCCUUCUCGUGCAGUUAUCUGCCUCCUGGAGGAAAUCAGGAUGAUGUCAAGGAUGAUGAUGGUCUUCAUCUCUGGAAAAGUGAGCAGAUGCAGGGGGUGGGGGGAGGCACAAGACUCCUGAGUGGGCGGGCCUAGGCCCCGAGAGGCUCUCGCCAAGUUAGCCCUGGUCCCUACAGCUUCCUUCUGGACUCUGAAUUCUGCGUUCUUUGAUAGGACCACCAAUGAGGCAGCAGGUUACACACAAUCAGCGGCUGGACGCGCUGUUUGGGCCCAGCGGCCGCAUUGCUCGUGGUUCAGGCAGUCUCCUUCUGGAUAAAAGACUUUGGAUACUCCAGGAGUUGGCCUAAUGCCUUCAGCAUGCCAGCAUCGAUAGCCAUCUGGGUCUGUUGGUCUGUUCCUGUGGCAACGCUGCGCUCAGUGCAGAGAGAAGAUGUCAAGGCAUUGAGAUCCCAGUUGGUCACAAACUCUAAGAGCCUGUACAGAAGCCCUGUGGUCGUCACAUGAUGAUGUGCUUAGUGCAUCCUUCAGUGAGGUGGGACAGGGCAGGGCCCAGGAGGUGUCUGAGAGGGAUCCCAUUAUUCCAAUGCCACAGGAGCUGAGAGGGUAUAGACAGCACCUACCUCACUACCUCCGCACAAGGUUAGGGAUUCUUCUUUCGGCAUAUGUUGGACAAAGCCCAUAUGAUGUUCCGAAAAAUGUGAUUGGUAUGCUUGUCGAAAUAAGGUUGAGGCAGGCACAGGAUGGCACUGUUGGAAAUGAUAUUGUCUCUGGAUUCUGGGCUGUCACCAGGCACAUUACUAAGAGUCCACACUGCCUGCUCACACAGGUCAGGUGCAGGGGAGACAGGAGUCCAGUCGGGGGCUGGAUGGCACCCCUUUUCACAACAGCUCUGGUCUGCUCUGAAAGCCCAGGUCGCAUCAAACUUCAGGCUGGGAAGAAGUGCCUCCUUCAAGAACAAUACCAAGUUGGGAAUGAGUUCUGCCGCAACAUGCAAUUUUAGUGAGGGGCUCCUCUCCCGGGGUACCACUUUCCUGGCAGCCUGCGUGGCCAGGAGACACAGGAUUGGAUCUGAGCUAUUCGCCUUUUGACUAUGUCUUCCAGAGUGAGGUUGGACACUUUGACUGGUACUUGAGAACCCACAUCAUUGGAGAAUUGGCUGAUAUUUCUUUUUCUUUAAGGAAACAUGGCAGUGUACAGGCAGAUAUGAUGCUGAGAGGAGCUGAGAGUUCUACAGUUUAAUCCAAAGGAAGCCAGGAAGAAGCUGUCUGUACUGGGUGGAGGUUAAACAUAAGACCUCCAAGCCAACCUCCACCAGCGAUGCACUUCCUCCAACAAGGCGACACCUGCUUCAACAAAGUCGCACAUCCUAACAGUGCCACUUCCCAUGGGUCAGUCAUAUUCAGACUACCACAUCUGUAAAUAUGUGAUUUCUCUAGUGAACAAACAUACCAUAGGAACUGUAUUUGAGUUUUGUCCCUGGGUGGUGGGAUUAAAGAUGUGGGCCACUACCACAUUGCUCACUGUAACUCUAGCAUUUGGAAAACAAGUAACUUACAGAGAUCUGCUUAUCUCUUCUGGGAUUAAAGGCAUGGGCUACUACCAACCCUGCUCAAAUAUUUUAUCUUAUCUCCA